AAUUGUCAAAACCACAACAAGAAAUUGAAGUGGGAUUUGGAAAGUGGGAGUUGCAGGGGUGUUGUGUAACCUAUCUCCCCAGCUCUCCUGAAAAGCAAUAGCAAAGUCUCAUAUGUGAUGAAUGCUUUAUUGGUGUGAUAAAGUUAUCGCCAUAAAAAGUAGCAUAUGAGGAUUGGCUUUUAAACAAUAUAUAUUUUGGACAA
rnacentral:misc_RNA from 1 species